AGCUGGUUUCAACAAGUAUUGAAAAUCUGACGCAAUUGCUGGUGUUUUCUACUUACAGAUAUUGCUCGCAUCAUGGUUUCAAUAUCCUCUGUGCUGGAAAUCACUGUCGCAGGAACCACAAACAGUGUGAGCCUCGAGCACCUUGAAGCCAUCGAAGAUAUCCCGAUUGGUUGCCUGGAACAUCAAAAGACGAUUGUGAGUGGAUCGACAUAAGCAACACAAACUUACGUCAACCAUUGCGGCAUGGAACGGGGUCUUGGGCUUUUCAAUCGCCGCGAGAGCAUCCUCCUCGCUAGUGAAGGCUGUGACUGCGCAUGCACAAAAGCUGUCCGUAAAUCCACCAUACAAAGAGCUGACAAAGACCUCUUUCACUCAGUUGGCUACCCGAUGCACACAAGACAGACAGGAUGGUUUCGUGGCCAGAGUGCGGGACGCCGUGUGGAGGAGCUUGCUACGAUUUCUCCGCAGAUCCGGGACAGCAUUACGAGAACGAGACACCGGGAAAACGUUGGAACAGGAAACGAUAGAAACAAGGAGACGAGUCAGAGGCAGCAGAGCAGAGCAUCCCAGGGAAGAAAGAGGAGAAGGGAGUGAUGAGUUUUUCUUUUCCCGUCGCUCUACCUCGAUAGCUGCAGGAUUGGAGUAUGCCACUGAUUUCCUCCCGGUCGUCACCAUCGGCAAUCGCGACGAGUACGUGCAGUCCCUUCGGGAAAUCCUUCCAGCCGUGGAGUUUGUCUUGCGGCAUGACUGCUGCUGCGAGAUCCAAAGCCCCUCUGCGGCACCACCGGCUUGCGAUUCCUAGUGCUGUUCUUGAGCUACUAUGAGUAGUCCCCGCUGUGGCCCUGUGUGGAUAAGGCCGCGACGACUAAAAUGGUGGCGGUGGUUUGGAUCCUCCUGUGUCAACCUGCAUUCCAGUGGAGCACGCAUUGGCGGAUUUGCCAUGAAUUCCCGGCCAGGAGACUUGGUUGGAGCUCAAAGCCAGCGAAUUGUAAGAGAACUUCUCCCUUUCUCGAUCCAGGGCCGCGUUUCAGGCGCGGAGGAUUCUCUGCGGCAGUUCCUCUUGGAAAAUCGCUGCCAGGAAAUGAGAAGGAAAGAGGGAAGAACUCGCCAUCUAUUAUCUAUGGCGGCUUGUUCUCGCCACACUCUUCGCUAGAACAAAGAGACAAAGAGGAAAGUGACCGGCUCUUCCAGUACUGAAGGACUGUGAGCACCGGGUGUAGCCGGUGAGGUGCGAAUCUUCCAUUGCGGAUUGAAAUGAAAGCUCCCGGAAAUCUCGUGUUCGAA